rnacentral:rRNA from 1 species
UUUCGCAAUGCCCGAAAGGGUGACGAAGCGACGCCGCGUGUGGGAAGAAGGCCUUCGGGUUGUAAACCACUGUCGGGAGUUAAGAAAGGUGUACGGGUAAAUAGUCCGUGCAUUUGACAAAAGCUCCGGAGGAAGCCACGGCUAACUCUGUGCCAGCAGCCGCGGUAAUACAGAGGUGGCAAGCGUUGUUCGGAAUUAUUGGGCGUAAAGAGCACGUAGGCGGCCCUGCAAGUCAGCUGUGAAAGCCUCCUGCUUAACGGGAGAAGUGCAGUUGAAACUACGGGGCUAGAGUGCGGAAGGGGAGAGUGGGACUUCUGGUGGAGCGGUGAAAUGCGUAGAUAUCAGAAGGAACACCGGCGGCGAAAGCGGCUCUCUGGUCCGUAACUGACGCUGAGGUGCGAAAGCCAGGGGAGCAAACGGGAUUAGAUACCCCGGUAGUCCUGGCCGUAAACGAUGGGCACUAAGUAGAGGGGUUUU